CCCAGGCUCCCCUGCGUGGUCCUGCUCAGAGAAGAAGAGUUACCACAGGGACUUCAGGAGCCCCUCACCUCCUCUGGGGUAGCAAGGCUGACGGGGCAGCGCAGGCUGACACUGACAAACGUCACCCCCUUAGGUGGCCUUCCAUGCUCGGCACGUGGCAGGAACUCCUGGGAGCACGUUUCUCACCUGAAAGCAGAGCCUGAUUCCAGCUGGACUUGAAGAUUGAGACGAUGGGGCGGGGGAGUGUCAGAAUCGCCUAGUAACACCCAGCGCGGUCAAGGAUGUGGAGAGAGUCACACCUCGGAGCUGGGGCCCGAGGACAAGAGACCCCGUCUCCACAGAGAAAGACACAUGAGGGGAAAAGGACCUUACAACACGACAGAAGCUGUGACAGGCUUUUCACAGGGACAGCGGGAACAGGAAGCAGAAGGAAUGACAGCGGUUGUAACAGUAUUGCUCUAAUAAGACCAGAAAAGGGUAGGAAUCUUUCGGAUGCAUGGAGUAGACCUAGCGCUGGACUCUCUUAAGUGAAAGCGGAGACUUGUCGGCUCUGUAAGCUGAGGAGUUGAGAGAGCCAGCUGGAGGGAUGGCGGGCUCCAGAGUGCCCGUGACAUCAUCGGGGCCAGGCUGGCCUUCGAUUCUUCCCCAUCCCCCAACUCCAGGCUUAAGCCCCAGGACUGACGUGUGGCAGGAUGAGCACCAGCUCUGUCCCCACCUUGUCUCAACUUCCGGGUCUGGGAAGUAAGAAUGAGAAUCUCCUUCCCAGAAGUCUAAGUGACAUCUCCCUUCGUCUCUGUAAGAGCUGGGCAAGGCUACCCUGCAAUGGUGACUAGCCCCAUAAGUUAUGUUCUGUUACAGUGUGUUCUGUAUAUUACAUUGUAGCAUGUUGUGUUAUAUAUGUUGUGUAACAGGAUUUUGUUAUAUGACUGUAAAACUACAUUUCACUUCCGUGUCCUCUCCGCGGCAGACACUCCCGGUCUUUUCUCCAUCAUGCUGUCAAGGAUUCUGGUUCGUUCCAUCCUGUGGCCCACCAUCCUCUAGGGCAGGAGUCUGUAACUUUUUCUGUAAAGGGCCAGAUGGUAAA